CGGAGGGGGGCUAGCGUUGUUCGGAAUUACUGGGCGUAAAAGCGCACGUAGGCGGACCAGAAAAGUUGGGGGGUGAAAUCCCGGGGGCUCAACCUCGGAACUGCCUUCAAAAACUAUUGGUCUGGAGUUCGAGAGAGGUGAGUGGAAUUCCGAGUGUAGAGGUGAAAUUCGUAGAUAUUCGGAGGAACACCAGUGGCGAAGGCGGCUCACUGGCUCGAUACUGACGCUGAGGUGCGAAAGCGUGGGGAGCAAACAGGAUU
rnacentral:rRNA from 1 species